rnacentral:rRNA from 1 species
AUUGAACGCUGGCGGCAGGCCUAACACAUGCAAGUCGAGCGGAUGAAGGGAGCUUGCUCCUGGAUUCAGCGGCGGACGGGUGAGUAAUGCCUAGGAAUCUGCCUGGUAGUGGGGGAUAACGUCCGGAAACGGGCGCUAAUACCGCAUACGUCCUGAGGGAGAAAGUGGGGGAUCUUCGGACCUCACGCUAUCAGAUGAGCCUAGGUCGGAUUGGCUAGUUGGUGGGGUAAAGGCCUACCAAGGGGACGUUCCGUAACUGGUCUGAUAGGAUGAUAUGUCACACUGGAACUGUGGCACGUUCCAGGCUCCUACGGGAGGCAGCAGUGGGGAAUAUUGGGCAAUGGGCGAAAGCCUUGUCCAGCCAUGCCGCGUGUGUGAAGAAGGUCUUCGGAUUGUAAAGCACUUUAAGUUGGGAGGAAGGGCAGUAAGUUAAUACCUUGCUGUUUUGACGUUACCAACAGAAUAAGCACCGGCUAACUUCGUG